rnacentral:lncRNA from 1 species
UGUGAAUGCUCUCUCUUUUCCCAGGCCCUUCAGCAAUUUAUCAUGCUUUCUGUUCAGGUGCAUCUGAAACAAGUCUUACAAGAGAGAAGAGCCCAUUAAUCCCCAUGACAUCUCUUCAGGACACCUCCAUGUGAGCCCCAUGGACCAGAGAGAUCCCCACAUGGCAUAGUGAUAACUGCUGCUGAACCCCAAAACCCAAGAGCCACCCUCUUUUUGAGGAAGAGUUUGAGAGGUGGAGAGGAGGCAGGGGAGAAAAACCCUCAGACCAAAGCAAACAGUGCCACAAAAAAAUGUUGCAAUUCAACCCAAUUUUGAGGGAAAUGCCCCUGAUAACUUCUCAGCUCCGAAGAGAAGCAGUGGAGGCUGGGGCCACUGAGUCUCCAUGGAAAUCAGAGAGGAGUGAUGCUCUGGAGAGGCACCUGGUUUAUCUUCCACUUCGGUCCAACUUGGAGAUGGAAUUGAAAUCACAAGUAUGUGUGAAAAUGGCUGGGGAGCCUUUAUUGGGAGUUAUACUGAAGGUUACUUCACACAACCACAGACUGGGCUUCAGCAGUUGCAGCAGAUAAGUUUUUACCAUGGACCCUGUGUAAAGAAGAGACCUAGCAAGGAGAAUGAAGGCUUGUUCUUCUGCCAGUUCACUUGCUACUUAGCCCUGGGUGAGCACUUUUGGCUCAGACUUUCAGGAGCGGUCACUCUGUCCCCAAGCCCAUUAAUGUGACAUUAUUUUAUGCUCAAUGCUGAGUAUCAACAGCCCCAAAGGAGAUGGACAGGCAUUAGCCCCCAGCCAGGCAUCUCCAGGCUCUUCCAAGGGGAGCCAAGUGCCCUGGCCAUGCUCUGGCUCAGCCCAGCUUCACACAGCUUCGAUUCUGCUUAUCCCCACUCAAGCAGUAUAAUGCCUUUAUCUCAUAGACACUUUGGGUAGAAGGGACACCUUCAAAGUAAGGUCAUCUUUCAUGUAAAAUCAGCUUUUUCCUGGGCUAGGACAGGGGCCUAAAGAUAUGGGUUUUCCCAAGGUGUGGUCUGUGGUGUGUGAUUUAGUGCAAAGACAGUGCAAGAGUGAAAGAGAAAAAACAAACCGUGAAGUGAGCUGAAAAUCCAGCUCCUAGAAUUAGAGGAGUUAAGAGCACUAGGUCCUGCCUUAACAGAGUUCAGACAAUUAAAGUAAGCCAUUACUAUUAAGGAUUAAUUAGCUCAGCUGGGAUGGGUGAUAACAAGUGCCCUUCAGUGGGUUGUGACCAUGAAGAUGCUGUAUCCAUGGCCCAUCUUUGAGAAGCUACAGACUUUCUCCAGAGAACAGGUAUUAGAAAAAAAUCUGCUCAGUAUUCCCAAAUAUGAAGGUUUCAUCCUGGAAAGGCAGGAGCUUAGUGAAAGCAGAGUAGAAAACAGCCACUUCAUUCUAACCCAUAUCAUACAAUGUAGUGAUUGUUUUAUUUCCUUCUAGGCUGGGAGCAUGAUGCCAUAUGCAGAACAUGAAGCAGGAUUCAGUGAAUUUAUUCCUUUAGCAUUUUUGAAAACCGCCACAUUUGUGUAUGCAGCGUGUGGAAUUUGUCAUGCAAACACCUAUGU